AGCUUUGUGAACCUGUGAUGAGAUUUUGUCAGACACCAGUCCAUCAGGACUGAUGAGACUCACAAGAUGGGAGAAGUU
rfam:Schistosoma curassoni strain Dakar, Senegal genome assembly, scaffold: SCTD_scaffold0001915